UGGAAGAUAAUCCAAAAGGGAUUCCUUCAGUAAUGGCGAAUGAACGGGGAAAAGCUCAGCAAAGAAAUCGAGGACUCCGGCCUUGAGUUGUGGACUUGAGAGGUAUCGCCAAUGGUGGCACAGGUGGGGGCCUCUUGGAAAAGGGCACCACAGAGGGUGUGAGUCCUGUUUGCCAUCUGUAGUCCGCUGUGUACGGCAUGCCUCCUCCGAGUCACGUUCCUUGGAAUUGGAGCGCGAAGGUGGUGGUGGCUUUCAUCUCAAGCUAAGUAUGGGUUCGAGACCGAUAGCAAACAAGUACCAUGAGGGAAAAUUGAAAAGAGCUUUGGAAAGAGAGUUAAAAGUGCCCGAACUUGCUGAUAGGGAAGCGAAGGGAGCUGACGUUGCUUGGUAACAUCUUCCGCGCAGGACUAGGAUGGGUUCUGAUUGCAAUGUGUGUUGUGUUUCUUGCCAUGCGUGUCAAUGCCAAGUAAUGAGUGGGGAGAGCUCCAGGGAUAAUGAUUGUUUCUGUCCCCGGGUAGACGAAUAUGUCUGGGUGCAUCCAUUUGUGGGCUGAAAAAUUGGUGGUUGGUUGCAGCUCCCUGCCUACGAGGCAAUUGGGGUGUAGCCCUGACACGCAGACGAGGACAAAGUGCUUCUGUUCGACCCG
rnacentral:rRNA from 1 species